rnacentral:rRNA from 1 species
UACAGAGGGUGCAAGCGUUAAUCGGAUUUACUGGGCGUAAAGCGCGCGUAGGCGGACCUGCAAGUCGGGGGGUGAAAGCCCGAGGCUCAACCUCGGAACUGCCUUCGAUACUGCGGGUCUCGAGUCCGGGAGAGGUGGAGUGGAAUUCCUAGUGUAGAGGUGAAAUUCGUAGAUAUUGGGAGGAACACCAGUGGCGAAGGCGGCUCACUGGACCGGAACUGACGCUGAGGCGCGAAAGCGUGGGGAGCAAACGGG